rnacentral:rRNA from 1 species
GACGAACGCUGGCGGCGUGCCUAAUACAUGCAAGUCGAACGCAGUGGGGACGGGUGAGUAACACGUGGGUAACCUCCCAUCAGAGGGGAUAACACUUGGAAACCGGUGCUAAACCGAUACUGAUGGAUGGCCCCGGGGGGCAGUAGCUAGUUGUGGAGGUAACGGUUCACCAAGGCCCAGACGCAUAGCCGCCCGGAGAGUGUGAGUGGCCAGACGGGGACUGAGACACGGCCCAGAUGCCUACGUGAGGAAGCAGUAGGGAAUCUUCGGCAGUGGACGAAAGUCUGACCGAGCAACGCCGCGUGAGUUAAGAAGGUUUUCGGAUCGUAAAACUCUGGUGUUAGAGAAGCGGUAUCUAACCAGAAAGCCACGGCUAACUACGUGCCAGCAGCCGCGGUAAUAC